GAGGGCGUAGCUCAGUUGGGAGAGCAACAGACUGAAGUAAAGCAUUUUGCGUAUAUGAUUCUGGAGGUCCCCAGUUCAAUCCUGGGUGCCCCCA